rnacentral:rRNA from 1 species
CAGAGGGUGCAAACGUUGUUCGGAAUUACUGGGCGUAGAGCGCAUGUAGGCGGCCAAGCAGGUCGGAUGUGAAAUCCCUCGGCUCAACCAAGGAAGUGCAUUCGAAACCGCAUGGCUCGAGUCCCGGAGAGGAAGGUGGAAUUCUCGGUGUAGAGGUGAAAUUCGUAGAUAUCGAGAGGAACACCGGUGGCGAAAGCGGCCUUCUGGACGAGGACUGACGCUGAGAUGCGAAAGCGUGGGGAGCAAAUAGGAUUAGAUACCCUGGUAGUCCACGCCGUAAACGAUGGGUGCUAGGUGUCGCGGGCUUUGACCCCUGCGGUGCCGUAGCUAACGCAUUAAGCACCCCGCCUGGGAAGUACGGCCGCAAGGCUA